rnacentral:rRNA from 1 species
UACAGAGGUCCCAAGCGUUGUUCGGAUUCAUUGGGCGUAAAGGGUGCGUAGGCGGCGCGGUAAGUCGGGUGUGAAAUCUCGGGGCUUAACUCCGAAACUGCAUUCGAUACUGCCGUGCUUGAGGACUGGAGAGGAGACUGGAAUUUACGGUGUAGCGGUGAAAUGCGUAGAUAUCGUAAGGAAGACCAGGGGCGAAGGCGGGUCUCUGGACAGUUCCUGACGCUGAGGCACGAAGGUCAGGGGAGCAAACGGG